GCCAGGUCCAGUAGAGCUGUGUUGUGAUGGGCCUGGUCCAGUAGAGCUGUGUUGUGAUGGGCCUGGUCCAGUAGAGCUGUGUUGUGAUGGGCCAGGUCUAGUAGAGCUGUGUUGUGAUGGGCCAGGUCCAGUAGAGCUGUGUUGUGAUGGGCCUGGUCUAGUAGAGCUGUGUUGUGAUGGGCCUGGUCUAGUAGAGCUGUGUUGUGAUGGGGUCUAGUAGAGCUGUGUUGUGAUGGGCCUGGUCUAGUAGAGCUGUGUUGUGAUGGGCCUGGUCCAGUAGAGCUGUGUUGUGAUGGGGUCUAGUAGAGCUGUGUUGUGAUGGGCCUGGUCUAGUAGAGCUGUGUCUCUCUCUCUCUCUCUCUCUCUCUCCUCCUAUCGCUCUCUCUCUCCCUAUCUCUCUCUCAUUUGCUCCCCUCCCUCCCUCUCUCUCUCUCUCUCUCUCUCCACACACUCUCUCUCCCUCUCUAUCUCUCUCUCUCUCC
rnacentral:lncRNA from 1 species